rnacentral:rRNA from 1 species
UACGUAGGGUGCAAGCGUUGUCCGGAAUUAUUGGGCGUAAAGAGCUCGUAGGCGGUCUGUCGCGUCGGCUGUGAAAACCCGGGGCUCAACCCCGGGCCUGCAGUCGAUACGGGCAGACUAGAGUGUGGUAGGGGAGACUGGAAUUCCUGGUGUAGCGGUGAAAUGCGCAGAUAUCAGGAGGAACACCGGUGGCGAAGGCGGGUCUCUGGGCCGUAACUGACGCUGAGGAGCGAAAGCAUGGGGAGCGAACAGG